CAGGUUAGGACGGCAUAGCUGUUACAAGAAGACAUGAAUCCUCAUGAAAAGGGAGAGAGCUUGUCACUCAUCCCCGUUGCCUGGAGACUCAGCGGGAUCAUCUGGCGGCUCAGGAGGAGAUGCACAACCCACCUCUACUUUGACAUUUGUUCCCUCAUGGAACUUUUCAAUGGAAAGAGAGUUGGGGUGACACAGGCCACACCUCACUGCAGGACUUCAAUGUGCUUGUCUAGGUUGCUUUGUUUUUCUAAGCUCCAUCCACUGCUCCAUUAGUCUGUGACCCAGAAUGGAAGCACUCGCAGCAGUGCAAAACAUAAACUCAGCUUGGCGUCUAACCAAGAUUUCCUUUGCUGUAAUCAAGAUGACUUCUGACAAGAUGAAGGAGGAGCAGAAAAGCUGACGAGUAGUCUUGAAGAAUUUGUGCAAUGGUCAAGUAUCCUCCUGUAGUUGGGUGAAGCACAGGCCAGAAGUCAGAAGCAACCCCGAAGACUUCCGGCUUUUCUUUUAAGAGCCUCAGAAAAGAGAUUAACUGGAGAAAGGCUUUAUCUCUGAUCCAGAUGUGAUACUGACUGAAGGGCUGGGAAGAAUGGUCUGUGCAUCUCUAGGAAGGCAUUUCUUUUUCUCUUCUUUGUAAAAACAUUUUUGGAUUACAAAGUGAUUUACUUAAAGUUUGAAUUGUUAAAUUCUAA